rnacentral:rRNA from 1 species
AGAGUUUGAUCAUGGCUCAGAGCGAACGCUGGCGGCAGGCUUAACACAUGCAAGUCGAGCGGGCGUAGCAAUACGUCAGCGGCAGACGGGUGAGUAACGCGUGGGAACAUACCUUUUGGUUCGGAACAACCCAGGGAAACUUGGGCUAAUACCGGAUAAGCCCUUACGGGGAAAGAUUUAUCGCCGAAAGAUUGGCCCGCGUCUGAUUAGCUAGUUGGUGAGGUAAUGGCUCACCAAGGCGACGAUCAGUAGCUGGUCUGAGAGGAUGAUCAGCCACAUUGGGACUGAGACACGGCCCAAACUCCUACGGGAGGCAGCAGUGGGGAAUAUUGGACAAUGGGCGCAAGCCUGAUCCAGCCAUGCCGCGUGAGUGAUGAAGGCCCUAGGGUUGUAAAGCUCUUUUGUGCGGGAAGAUAAUGACGGUACCGCAAGAAUAAGCCCCGGCUAACUUCGUGCCAGCAGCCGCGGUAAUACGAAGGGGGCUAGCGUUGCUCGGAAUCACUGGGCGUAAAGGGUGCGUAGGCGGGUCUUUAAGUCAGGGGUAAAAUCCUGGAGCUCAACUCCAGAACUGCCUUUGAUACUGAAGAUCUUGAGUUCGGGAGAGGUGAGUGGAACUGCGAGUGUAGAGGUGAAAUUCGUAGAUAUUCGCAAGAACACCAGUGGCGAAGGCGGCUCACUGGCCCGAUACUGACGCUGAGGCACGAAAGCGUGGGGAGCAAACAGGAUUAGAUACCCUGGUAGUCC